rnacentral:rRNA from 1 species
GAGGACCUCUGGCGGCGUGCUUAACACAUGCAAGUCGAACGAACACAUCUGAGUGCUUGCACUUGGAUGGACUGAGUGGCGGACGGGUGAUUAACGCGUGGGUAACCUGCCUUAUACAGGGGGAUAACAGUUGGAAACGACUGCUAAUACCGCAUAAGCGCACGGUAUCGCAUGAUACAGUGUGAAAAAACUCCGGUGGUAUAAGAUGGACCCGCGUCUGAUUAGCUUGUUGGUGAGGUAACGGCCCACCAAGGCGACGAUCAGUAGCCGGCCUGAGAGGGUGAACGGCCACAUUGGGACUGAGACACGGCCCAAACUCCUACGGGAGGCAGCAGUGGGGAAUAUUGCACAAUGGGGGAAACCCUGAUGCAGCGACGCCGCGUGAGUGAUGAAGUAUUUCGGUAUGUAAAACUCUAUCAGCAGGGAAGAUAAUGACGGUACCUGACUAAGAAGCACCGGCUAAAUACGUGCCAGCAGCCGCGGUAAUACGUAUGGUGCAAGCGUUAUCCGGAUUUACUGGGUGUAAAGGGUGCGUAGGUGGUAUGGCAAGUCAGAAGUGAAAGGCUGGGGCUCAACCCCGGGACUGCUUUUGAAACUGUCAAACUAGAGUACAGGAGAGGAAAGCGGAAUUCCUAGUGUAGCGGAGAAAUGCGUAGAUAUUAGGAGGAACACCAGUGGCGAAGGCGGCUUUCUGGACUGAAACUGACACUGAGGCACGAAAGCGUGGGGAGCAAACAGGAUUAGAUACCCUGGUAGUCCACGCCGUAAACGAUGA